rnacentral:rRNA from 1 species
UACGUAGGGGGCUAGCGUUGUCCGGAAUCAUUGGGCGUAAAGAGCGUGUAGGCGGCUUGGUAAGUCCGCUGUGAAAGUCCAGGGCUCAACCCUGGAAUGCCAGUGGAUACUGUCAAGCUAGAGUCCGGAAGAGGCGAGUGGAAUUCCUGGUGUAGCGGUGAAAUGCGCAGAUAUCAGGAGGAACACCAAUGGCGAAGGCAGCUCGCUGGGACGGUACUGACGCUGAGACGCGAAAGCGUGGGGAGCAACAGG